CCUGGGACUUUAAUAACUCACGUCCCUCCCUGUUCUCUCCACCCCUGACCAGGAGUGAAUGCCGAGUCACAGAAAUCCUUUCCACGUGGUCCCCCACACCCUGCUUUGUGAGCGAGGCAGACGCAGAGGGCGGCCCUGAAGAGGAACCAAGGCUCCCGGAGAUGAGAGGUGACCAAGCCAGCCCCCUCCCCAGCGCAGUGGGUUGCCGUUCCAGAAACUUGCAUUUGUAAGGGGACGCUGGAUCACAGAUGAGCGCUUGAUCAAAGGAAGGUCUUUAUAGAGGCUCCUUGUGGUGUCCCCAUCUUCCUUCCUCUCUUCCGUGUGACCCGAGUUUUAUUCGCAAAACACGUGAAGACUGACCGGAGUUGGCCAGCUCAGCUGCACACCACUACCUUUCUGCACGGUCUGCAACAGGGCUUGGAAGUACUGGGCAAACAGAGCUGGGUGGGGUGCUCUUACGACACCCCAUACACACAUACACAAUAAAUGCAUAUUCGCCUCUCCAUGGCUGAUAACACCACGUUCAUCAUUCUCAGUCCAGAAGAAGGGAGAUAGCCACACAGCCUGAUGGACGAGAAGAGAAGUGUUCCAGUUGACUGUGGUCGCUGUUAAACUGCAAGCAGUUCACGGUCUACCUGGUGGAUCAAGAGAAAGCCACUGCAAGAUGAGGACAAGGCGACCCAUCAUCUCCGGACCCUUCCGCCUGAUGUCUGGGGGAACCCAGGGCUCUGUGGUGGGCACCAGCGAUUUUAACGACCAGAGAGAAAAAGGACACAAAAAGCGUUUCUACUCAUGGAGUUACAUUCCAGAAGGGGAGACAGACAAUAAACGACAUCCUUUCAUCUCAGAGGGUGAUUCUGCCGGUAAAGAAAAAUAAAGAAAGAGAACAUGCAUCUAGUAAAAUGCAAUAAAGAGAUUUAAAAAGCGGACCGGGAUGUCAAGGGGGCGUUCUCCACUGACCUGGCAUGCCCAGUAAAGACGUCACUUGCAAGCCAGCACGAG